rnacentral:rRNA from 1 species
GCGCACUGGCCCAACUGAUAUGACGUGCUUGCACAGAUUUGACGAUGGAUUACCAGCGAGCGGCGGACGGGUGAGUAACACGUGGGCAACCUGCCCUGGAGCGGGGGAUAACAUUUGGAAACAGAUGCUAAUACCGCAUAACAAUCAAAACCACAUGGUUUUGAUUUCAAAGAUGGUUUCGGCUAUCACUCCAGGAUGGGCCCGCGGUGCAUUAGCUAGUUGGUAAGGUAACGGCUUACCAAGGCGAUGAUGCAUAGCCGAGUUGAGAGACUGAUCGGCCACAAUGGAACUGAGACACGGUCCAUACUCCUACGGGAGGCAGCAGUAGGGAAUCUUCCACAAUGGGCGCAAGCCUGAUGGAGCAACACCGCGUGAGUGAAGAAGGGUUUCGGCUCGUAAAACUCUGUUGUUGAAGAAGAACGUGCGUGAGAGUAACUGUUCACGCAGUGACGGUAUUCAACCAGAAAGUCACGGCUAACUACGUGCCAGCAGCCGCGGUAAUACGUAGGUGGCAAGCGUUAUCCGGAUUUAUUGGGCGUAAAGCGAGCGCAGGCGGUUACUUAAGUCUGAUGUGAAAGCCUUCGGCUUAACCGAAGAAGUGCAUCGGAAACUGGGCGACUUGAGUGCAGAAGAGGACAGUGGAACUCCAUGUGUAGCGGUGGAAUGCGUAGAUAUAUGGAAGAACACCAGUGGCGAAGGCGGCUGUCUGGUCUGCAACUGACGCUGAGGCUCGAAAGCAUGGGUAGCGAACAGGAUUAGAUACCCUGGCAGUCCAUGCCGUAAACGAUGAGUGCUAGGUGUUGGAGGGUUUCCGCCCUUCAGUGCCGGAGCUAACGCAUUAAGCACUCCGCCUGGGGAGUACGACCGCAAGGUUGAAACUCAAAGGAAUUGAC